GGUGAGUAACACGUAAGCAACUUACCUUCAAGUUCGGGAUAACUCGGCUAAAGCUGGGCUAAUACCGGAUGUGGACAUAUGUCCUCAUGAAUAUAUGUCUAAAGGCAACCUCUACCUGUAAGUUGUCGCUUGAAGAUAGGCUUGCGGCCCAUUAGUUAGUUGGUGAGGUAACGGCUCACCAAGGCAACGAUGGGUAGCCGGCCUGAGAGGGUGAUCGGCCACAUUGGGACUGAGAUACGGCCCAGACUCCUACGGGAGGCAGCAGUAGGGAAUAUUGCGCAAUGGGCGAAAGCCUGACGCAGCAACGCCGCGUGAGGGAUGACUGCCUUCGGGUUGUAAACCUCUGUUGAGUGGGAAGAAACUUUGUGCCGUUAAUAGCGGUAUGAACUGACGGUACCGCUCGAGGAAGCCCCGGCGAACUACGUGCCAGCAGCCGCGGUAAUACGUAGGGGGCGAGCGUUGUUCGGAAUUACUGGGCGUAAAGAGAGCGUAGGCGGGAGAGUAAGUUAGGAGUGAAAUGCAUGGGCUUAACCCAUGGUCCGCUCUUAAUACUGCUUUCCUUGAGUGUAGGAGGGGAAAGCGGAAUUCCGGGUGUAGCGGUGGAAUGCGUAGAUAUCCGGAAGAAUAUCAAUGGCGAAGGCUGCUUUCUGGCCUAUUACUGACGCUGAGGCUCUAAAGCUAGGGGAGCGAACAGGAUUAGAUACCCUGGUAGUCCUAGCCGUAAACGUUGGGCACUGGAUGUUGGAGGGUUUCCCUUCAGUGUCGUAGCUAACGCGAUAAGUGAACCGCCUGGGGAGUACGCUCGCAAGGGUGAAACUCAAAGGAAUUGACGGGGGCCCGCACAAGCGGUGGAGCAUGUGCUUUAAUUCGAUGAUACGCGAGGAACCUUACCUGGGUUUGACAUGGGAGUGAAAGCCGCCAGAGAUGGUGGCCCUUCUCUUCGGAGAACGCUCCACACAGGUGCUGCAUGGUUGUCGUCAGCUCGUGUCGUGAGAUGUUGGGUUAAGUCCCAUAACGAGCGCAACCCUUGCCCUUAGUUGCCAGCGGUUCGGCCGGGCACUCUAAGGGGACUGCCUGGUAUUUCCAGGAGGAAGGGGAGGAUGACGUCAAAUCAUCAUGGCCCUUAAGCCCAGG
rnacentral:rRNA from 1 species